rnacentral:lncRNA from 1 species
CCAUGAGCUGUUGACGCAACCAAGAGGGAAAAAUAUCCAUGUGAUGAUGUAUAAUCUAGGCAUUAGAAUUCGUCGGGUGUUCGAAAACUAACAUAUGCUUGUGUUGCUCGAUAUACGGAGCCACAAAGGAUGAUUGUUGCAGAAUAGUGAAGUGUGCCUUGUCGAACAAAUCAGUAUCAUUGCUCAAACUUGUUUUCCUUCCAAGGGUACCCAUUCCCCGCAGCCUCCCCGCAUGACGUGAAGUUGGAACCCCAAUCGAAUUAAGUGAGUCAAUAAAAUCAACACAAAACUCAAUGACCU